UCAGUGUCGUCUGAACAAAAAUCUAAUUAUUAAAACUUUUAACAACGGAUCUCUUGGUUCUGGCAUCGAUGAAGAACGCAGCGAAAUGCGAUAAGUAAUGUGAAUUGCAGAAUUCAGUGAAUCAUCGAAUCUUUGAACGCACAUUGCGCCCCCUGGUAUUCCGGGGGGCAU
rnacentral:rRNA from 1 species